GAUGAACGCUAGCGGCAGGCUUAAUACAUGCAAGUCGAGGGGCAGCGCGGACUUCGGUCUGGCGGCGACCGGCAAACGGGUGCGGAACACGUACACAACCUUCCUUUUAGUGGGGGAUAGCCCAGAGAAAUUUGGAUUAAUACCCCGUAAGAUGUUAGUGAGGCAUCUCACUGAUAUUAUAGUGGCAACACGCUAGAAGACGGGUGUGCGUAUGAUUAGGUAGUUGGCGGGGUAACGGCCCACCAAGCCUUCGAUCAUUAACUGGUGUGGGAGCACGACCAGUCACACGGGCACUGAGACACGGGCCCGACUCCUACGGGAGGCAGCAGUAAGGAAUAUUGGUCAAUGGAGGAAACUCUGAACCAGCCAUGCCGCGUGGAGGAUGAAGGUCCUCUGGAUUGUAAACUUCUUUUAUAUGGGACGAAAAAGGGACUUUCUAGUUCAACUGACGGUACCAUAUGAAUAAGCACCGGCUAACUCCGUGCCAGCCGCCGCGGUAACAC
rnacentral:rRNA from 1 species